rnacentral:lncRNA from 1 species
GUCGUUAUUUUUUACUUAGUUGUCUAUUUGAUAAUUUUUAUGAUUAAUAUGAUAGAACUUACUCUAGUGCAAAGAAAAGUUGGAAAGUCUUGCAGAGUAAGUAAGACACUGAGGAGGUGGGAGCGAAAAAAUAUGUGGCUAGAGGCCAAGAUACACUUAUGCAAACAGAAGAGAACAACAUCACACCGAAGGUAAAUUUAUCUUCAAAUAAUGCUACUCUUGAAAAUAACAAAAAUACUACAUUGAAGCCUAAGAAGAAAAUAUUCAAGAAAAAUAAUGGUAGACAUCUCAAUAAUAAUUAUGGUGGAAAUAUCCAAGCAAAAAAUCAACAUGUACGAGAAAAAGGACCGUGUUUUGUCUGUGGCAAAAGUGGGCAUGUUGCUCGACCUUGCAAAUAUCGAAAACGUGGGCCUACACCUCAGGCAAACAUUACCGAAAAACCAUUUGUGGCAGUAAUAAUAGACAUAAAUAUGGUUGUGAAUGUUGAUGGUUGGUGGGCUGACUCUGGUGCAAACCGUCAUGUCAUUAUGACAAAGACUGGUUUAAAAGUUAUAAAAAUUUUGAGGAACCCAAAAUCAUCAUGCUUGGAGAUUCACACACAAGUCAAGUACUUGGAGUGGGGGAUGUCGAGUUGAGAUUUACUUCUGAAAGGGUAUUAAUCUUAAAUGAUAUACUUUAUACUCCUUCCAUGAAGAAAAACUUGAUGUCUAGUUUUCUUCUUAAUAAACAAGGCUUCAAAUAGAUUAUUGAAUCUGAUCAGUAUAUAAUCGUGAAAAAUAAUAUUUUUUUGGGAAAAGGGUAUGCAUGUGAUGGUAUGUUCAAGCUGAGUGUUGAAAUGCAUAAAACAUCUACUUCUGUUUAUAUGCUUUCUUCUACUAAUUUUUGGCAUGCUCCUUUGUGUCAUAUAAAUGAACGUUACGUGGGAAUCAUAAGUAGUUUAGGAUUAAUUCCAAUGAUCAAAAAGAAUUUUAAAAAAUGUGAAGCUUGUAGUAAAGCUAAAAUCACAAAAGGCCUCACUUCCAUGUUGAAAGAAAAACUGAUUUAUUAGAAUUAGUUCAUACUGAUAUUUGUGAACUUGGUGGAAUUUUAACUCGUGGAGGAAAUAGAUAUUUUAUCACUUUCAUUGAUGAUUUUUCUAAGUUUACAUAUGUUUACUUAAUGAAAAAUAAAAGUGAUGCUUUUGAGAAUUUUAAAACUUUCCUCCAUGAAGUUGAAAAUUAGUUUAAUAGAAAAAUAAAAAGACAAGAAGUGAUAGAGGUCGUGAAUAUGAGUCACUUGAGUUCAAUUCUUUUGUAAGAUCAUUGGGAAUAAUUCAUGAAACUACUCCUCCUUAUUCUCCUGCAUCUAACGGUGUAGCAGAAAGGAAGAAUAGAACUUUGGUUAAGUUGGCUAAUGCCAUGUUAAUUGAGUCUUGUGCACCUUUAAAUUUUUGGGGUGAAGCUCUUUUGACUGCUUGUUAUGUGUUGAAUCGUGUGCCUCGUAAAAAUACGAAAUUAACUCCUUUUGAAUUGUUGAGAGGUCAUAAGCCAAAUUUGGGAUAUCUAAGAGUUUGGGGUUGCUUAGCCUAUGUAAGGUUAAUGGAUCCUAAAAUCUCUAAGUUGGGUAAAAAGUUACUACUUGUGCUUUUCUUGAUUAUGUUUCAAAUAGUACAGCCUAUAGAUUUUUUAAUCUUGAAGAUAGCGCGAUAAUAGAAUCAGGUGAUACUAUUUUUCAUGAAGAUAAAUUUCCUUUUGAUUCUAAAAAUAGUUGGGGUCAUGGGACCAAAGAAAAUAUUUUGUAUACUUUAAAUAAUAAACAAAAUGAUGAUUUUGAGUUAAGAAGGAGUAAACGAGCUAGAGUAGAAAAAGAUUUUGGUCCUGAUUAUUAUGUUUUUAAUGUUGGAGAUGACCCACUCACUUUAAAAGAAGCUUUGUCAUCACAUGAUGCUAUUUUCUGGAAAGAGGCUGUAAAUGAUGAAAUGGAAUUGCUAAUUUCCAAUAAAACUUGAAAGCUAGUUGAUUUAUCAACGGGUUGUAAAACAAUUGGAUGUAAAUAGGUCUUACGUAAAAAAUUUAAACCGGAUGGAUUUGUUGAUAAAUAUAAAGUUAGGCUUAUGGCUAAAGGUUUUAAACAACUAGAAGGCCUAAAAUUUUUUAAUACUUUUUCAUCGGUAACGAGAAUUACAUCCAUUAGACUUUUAGUCUCUAGUGCGGCAAUUUUUGAUUUACAAAUUCAUCAAAUGGAUGUAAAAACUGCUUUUUUAAACGGAGACCUGAAUGAAGAGAUUUACAUGGAACAACCCGAAGGUUUUGUUGAGGCUGGCCAAGAAAGCAAAGUAUGUAAACUUAAUAAAUCCCUAAAUGGAUUGAAACAGGCACCGAAGCAGUGGAAUGAAAAGUUUGAUUCCUGCAUGAUUGAAAAUGAGUUUAAAAUAAAUGAGUGUGAUAAGUGCAUAUAUCAUAAGUUUUGGAAUAAUUCACAUGUGAUUAUUUUCCUAUAUGUUGAUGAUUUAUUGAUCUUUGGCUCUAAUAUGAAUAUUAUUGAUGAAACUAAAAAUAUUCUUAAAAGCCAUUUUGAAAUGAAAGAUCUUGGUGAGACAAAUUUUAUUCUAGGAAUAAAAAUUACUAGAACAUGUGAUGGAAUUUUCCUUGAUCAGUCACAAUAUGUUGAGAAAAUAUUGAAAAAAUAUAAUUUCCUUGAUUGCAAGCAUGUUGUAACUCCAUUUGAUUCUAGUGUUCACCUGUUUCCUGUUGAGAGUGAAACAGAAGUAAUAAAUCAGAAGGAAUAUGCGAGCAUAAUUAAAAGUUUGAGAUAUGUGACUGAUUGCAGUAGGCCUGACAUUGCAUAUGCAGUGGGAGUACUUAGCAGGUUUACUAGCAAGCCAGGUAAUGAACAUUGGCAUACUAUAAACAGAGUAAUGAGAUAUUUAAUUGAAAUGAAAAAUUAUGGUUUAUUCUAUACUAAAUAUCCUGCAGUACUUGAAGGCUUUUGUGAUGCGGAUUGGAAUACUUUAUCAGGUGAUUCCUUAUCCAUGAUUGGUUAUGUUUUUACCUUGGGUGGUGGUGCUAUUUGUUGGAAGUCUAAAAAGCAAACAAUUAUUGCUAACUCUACCAUGGAGGCUGAACUAAUUGUUUUAGCUUCAGCUAGUGAGGAAGCAAAUUGGUUGAGGGAUUUGUUAUUUCAAAUACCUUAUUUUGAAAAACUAAUUCCUCCUAUAUUAAUACAAUGUGAUAGCACCGCUGCAAUUGGUAGAGUUCAAAACCGUUAUUAUAACGGUAAAUCCAGACCUAUACGGAGAAAGUACAGUAAUGUUAGAUUAUAUUUGACAAAUGGUACCAUUAAUGUUGAUUAUGUCAAAUCUUGUGAUAAUCUUACAGAUCCAUUGACUAAGGCCUUAGCGAGAGAAAAGGUAUGGAGUACAUCGAGG